GUAGGCGGUUUAAUAAGUGAAUAGUGAAACCUGGUGGCUCAACCAUACAGACUAUUAUUCAAACUGUUAAACUCGAGAGUGGUAGAGGUAACNUGGAAUUUCUAGUGUAGGAGUGAAAUCCGUAGAUAUUAGAAGGAACACCAAUGGCGUAGGCAGGUUACNUGGACCAUUUCUGACGCUAAGGCACGAAAGCGUGGGGAGCGAACUGGAUUAGAUACCCAGGUAGUCCACGCCGUAAACGAUGGAUACUAGCUGUUGGAGGUAUCGACCCCUUCAGUAGCGAAGCUAACGCGUUAAGUAUCCCGCCUGUGGAGUACGGCCGCAAGGCUAAAACAUAAAGGAAUUGACGGGGACCCGCACAAGCGGUGGAUCAUGUUCUUUAAUUCGAUGAUAAACGAAGAACCUUACCAGGGUUUGACAUCCCGAGAAGAUUUACGAAAGUAGAUUGUGCCUUUUGGAACUCGGUGACAGAUGAUGCAUGGCCGUCGUCAGCUCGUGUCGUGAGAUGUUUGGUUAAGUCCAUCAACGAGCGCAACCCUUGUGAAUAGUUGAAUUUUUCUAUUCAGACUGCCCCGGCAACGGGGAGGAAGGAGGGGGAUGAUGUCAGGUCAGUAUUUCCCUUACAUCCUGGGCUAGAAACGUGAUACAAUGGCAAGUACAAUGCNCAGCGAAGCCCCGAGGUGAAGCAAAUCGCACCAAAACU
rnacentral:rRNA from 1 species